UGGGGAAUAUUGCACAAUGUGCGCAAGCCUGAUGCAGCCAUGCCGCGUGUGUGAAGAAGGCCUUCGGGUUGUAAAGUAAUUUCAGCGGGGAGGAAGGCGUUAAGGUUAAUAACCUUGGCGAUUGACGUUACCCGCAGAAGAAGCACCGGCUAACUCCGUGCCAGCAGCCGCGGUAAUACGGAGGGUGCAAGCGUUAAUCGGAAUUACUGGGCGUAAAGCGCACGCAGGCGGUCUGUCAAGUCGGAUGUGAAAUCCCCGGGCUCAACCUGGGAACUGCAUUCGAAACUGGCAGGCUAGAGUCUUGUAGAGGGGGGUAGAAUUACAGGUGGAGCGGUGAAAUGCGUCGAGAUCUGGAGGAAUACCGGUGGCGAAGGCGGCCCCCUGGACGAAGACUGACGCUCAGGUGCGAAAGCGUGGGGAGCAAACAGG
rnacentral:rRNA from 1 species